GUUUGAUCAUGGCUCAGAUUGAACGCUGGCGGCAGGCCUAACACAUGCAAGUCGAGCGGCAGCACGGGUACUUGUACCUGGUGGCGAGCGGCGGACGGGUGAGUAAUGCCUAGGAAUCUGCCUGGUAGCGGGGGAUAACGCUCGGAAACGGACGCUAAUACCGCAUACGUCCUACGGGAGAAAGCAGGGGACCUUCGGGCCUUGCGCUAUCAGAUGAGCCUAGGUCGGAUUAGCUAGUUGGUGAGGUAAUGGCACACCAAGGCGACGAUCCGUAACUGGUCUGAGAGGAUGAUCAGUCACACUGGAACUGAGACACGGUCCAGACUCCUACGGGAGGCAGCAGUGGGGAAUAUUGGACAAUGGGCGGAAGCCUGAUCCAGCCAUGCCGCGUGUGUGAAGAAGGUCUUCCGAUUGUAAAGCACUUUAAGUUGGGAGGAAGGGCAUUUACCUAAUACGUAAGUGUUUUGACGUUACCGACAGAAUAAGCACCGGCUAACUCUGUGCCAGCAGCCGCGGUAAUACAGAGGGU
rnacentral:rRNA from 1 species